GACGAACGCUGGCGGCGUGCCUAAUACAUGCAAGUCGAACGAGAGCGACCGGUGCUUGCACUGGUCAAUCUAGUGGCGAACGGGUGAGUAACACGUGGGUAACCUGCCCAUCAGAGGGGGAUAACAUUCGGAAACGGAUGCUAAAACCGCAUAGGUCUUCGAACCGCAUGGUUUGAAGAGGAAAAGAGGCGCAAGCUUCUGCUGAUGGAUGGACCCGCGGUGCAUUAGCUAGUUGGUGAGGUAACGGCUCACCAAGGCCGUGAUGCAUAGCCGACCUGAGAGGGUGAUCGGCCACAUUGGGACUGAGACACGGCCCAAACUCCUACGGGAGGCAGCAGUAGGGAAUCUUCCGCAAUGGACGCAAGUCUGACGGAGCAACGCCGCGUGAGUGAAGAAGGUUUUCGGAUCGUAAAACUCUGUUGUUAGAGAAGAACAAGUGCUAGAGUAACUGUUAGCGCCUUGACGGUAUCUAACCAGAAAGCCACGGCUAACUACGUG
rnacentral:rRNA from 1 species